UACGGGGGGGGCAAGCGUUGUUCGGAAUUACUGGGCGUAAAGGGCUCGUAGGUGGCCAACUAAGUCAGACGUGAAAUCCCUCGGCUUAACCGGGGAACUGCGUCUGAUACUGGAUGGCUUGAGUUUGGGAGAGGGACGCGGAAUUCCAGGUGUAGCGGUGAAAUGCGUAGAUAUCUGGAGGAACACCGGUGGCGAAGGCGGUGAGCUGGGCAGUUGCUGACACUGAGGCGCGACAGCGUGGGGAGCAAACAGG
rnacentral:rRNA from 1 species